CCUACGGGAGGCAGCAGUGGGGGAUAUUGCACAAUGGAGGAAACUCUGAUGCAGCGACGCCGCGUGAGGGAAGACGGUCUUCGGAUUGUAAACCUCUGUCUUUGGGGAAGAAAAUGCCGGUACCCAAAGAGGAAGCUCCGGCUAACUACGUGCCAGCAGCCGCUGUAAUACGUAGGGCGCGCGCGUUGGCCGGAAUUACUGGGUGUAAAGGGAGCGUAGGCGGGCGGGAAAGUUGACUGUUAAAUCUACCGGCUUAACUGGUAGCAGCCUUCGAAACUUCUUGUCGUGAGUGGAGUAGAGGAAGGCGGAAUGCGUAGUGUAGCGGUGAAAUGCGUAGAUAUUAGGAGGAACACCAGUGGCGAAGGCGGCCUUCUGGGCUUUAACUGACGCUGAGGCUCGAAAGCGUGGGGAGCAAACAGGAUUAGAUACCCGAGUAGUC
rnacentral:rRNA from 1 species